rnacentral:tRNA from 1 species
GGAUUGUGGCUCAGUGGCAGAGUGCUUGCUUUGCCUGCGUGAGGCACUGGGUUCAAUCCCCAGCACCA